GUAAUUUACAGCUCUCAAAAUUCUAUUUUCACCUUUUUUACAGUUAACUUUUACCAUAGAACGAACUAAUAAUGAUAACAGGCCAUGAAAAAUAACACAUAAUGACUUCCAUCAAAUGUUUAGGUAAAGCAGCACUUUUAUGUUCUUCAGGUGAACAAUAAUAGUUAAUGACAACAACCUGCAGUCCAGCUACUGAAUUUCAAACAUUCUUAGACUGGAUGGCCAAAGGUAAUAAGAUUACCCUGUCAUAGAAAGCUCUAGUAGCAGCGGCUAAGACAAAGGGCAAAAAAUUCUGGGUUAGUAGGCUUCAGUGGGUAUAUGUUUUUGCAUUGAAGAAAAAAUGACUUAACACCCAUAUCGUUUUUCAAGUUGUGUGGAAAGAAAGUUAAAAAAGAGGGCUUUUAAGGUGGGAAGUUGUUUCUCAAUACUUAAAAAAGCUGGGAGGGGAAUUGUUUUAACCAGCAACCAAUUGAAAUAUAUAAAUAAUUACAAGAACAGACAGAAAUCCAGGAAGUGAUUAAAAAUCCAAGCACCCAACAAAAAUUUGAUAAUUAUUGCAUACCUACAGCAACCUCUGCCCUAACA
rnacentral:misc_RNA from 1 species